CAAGUUGCCCAGUUCAAUUGGAUGCGUAGAAAUCCAAUGAACGAGGGCGAUGAUUUUGUGGGCGGCACGUGUGGCCGAUGACAGGGUGAGUUGUCGGAGAAGAGGAAUCAUUGCUUCGGCGACAGGAUAAUCGCCUCUAUCUCGAUCUGUUUUGCUUCAUCAUGAUAGUUCAGUAAAUUUAUCUGCCUCUCCCUUUCUGGACCUAGCUCUUCCCCGCCCUUGGCAGGAAUGAUCUCUUCUGCGUUCGAAGUAAGCGUUAUUCCUCAGCUACUAAACGCGCGAGCAGGUGGAAAGGAGGCUGGUUUUCAUUUACUGUGCUAAAAUUUAGCCAACCAAACGGGUACCUUGGCUGUGAGCGGCUCUCCUUGGAGUUGGAGGUCCUGUCGAAUGAUUUCAUCUAGAGAGAAUACAUUUUGGGGAUGGAUUUUCAUAUUACUUGGCUCUAUAUUCUUUGUUGCCUACUUAUUUGCUGCAAUUAUUUCCAAGCUUCUUCCGCCUUCAAAUAUAGCGUUAAUAUCUGCUAUGCAAAAUGACUGGUAUUACUGCUUCUUGGUGCCGUUGACUCUGCCUAUGGUUGUGGUUGCUGUAUACCUUCAUUGGCUCAGCAUGAAGAUGUUCAAGCAUGCUUAACUUCUAAUUACUAUCUGAUCAUUAUUUGGAGGCACACAGGAUUUUUUUUCUGCUUCGAAACGGG